rnacentral:ncRNA from 1 species
ACCAAUUUUGGGGGGGCUGUGCUACUGUCCAGUGAGUAUGUAGCGAGGGCAAUACUGCUAACACCUACACAACACUCCUCAUCAACUAGAACUUUGCUUCACAUUGGUGCAGAAAAAGAAAAA